AAUAAAGCAAUUUUUCACUUUUUACCUUAAAUUUUUAACUCUUCGUCUUAUUCAAAUUUUUUUGUGAUUGAUAUUUUUAUUUUUAUUAGAUAAUAAAUCAUGAAUAGUACUUUACGUGUGACUAAUAUUUUUCUAAUUUCCUAAAAAAAUUUUCAAAUAAAACGGAUGGUGAAACAUAGGACAAGGAAAC
rnacentral:pre_miRNA from 1 species